rnacentral:rRNA from 1 species
GUGCCAGCAGCCGCGGUAAUACGUAGGGUGCGAGCGUUAAUCGGAAUUACUGGGCGUAAAGCGUGCGCAGGCGGUUUUGUAAGUCAGAUGUGAAAGCCCCGGGCUCAACCUGGGAACUGCGUUUGAAACUACAAGGCUAGAGUGUAGCAGAGGGGGGUAGAAUUCCACGUGUAGCAGUGAAAUGCGUAGAGAUGUGGAGGAAUACCGAUGGCGAAGGCAGCCCCCUGGGCUAACACUGACGCUCAUGCACGAAAGCGUGGGGAGCAAACAGGAUUAGAAACCCUGGUAGUCC